rnacentral:lncRNA from 1 species
UCCUAUACAAAUAUGUGACCAUUUUUUGCCAAGGGUAGGCCUACCGAUCUAAAGGAUGUAUUACGUCAUUUGACAACAUUGUCCCAAAACCUGAAUUUAUACAAACUUUAUGAAUAAAACUGAAUGAGAAUACAUAGUAGGGAAAAUGGGAUACAUAUAAUAAGUCCCACGCAGAGGUACCAUCCUAAGCUAUGCCUUUAUGUACGGUC